rnacentral:misc_RNA from 1 species
CAAUUCACUGGAAGUAUCCCAUAUGGCAUAGUUAACUGCACUGGGUUGCAAAUCUUGGACGUGAGUGAUAAUUAUCUCUCUGGUAGCAUCCCUGGUUGGAUAAGGAAUUUAACUUCUCUUGAAGUCAUGGAUCUAUCACAGAACAAUUACUCUGGAAACCUGCCAUCUAACUUUGGCCCUCAUUGGAUCAGAGAAGUUUAUCUAUCAAAAAAUAGG